UGGGGAAUCUUGGACAAUGGGGGCAACCCUGAUCCAGCGACGCCGCGUGACCGAUGACGCCCUUCGGGGUGUAAAGGUCUUCGGCGGGGACAAUAAUGAUGGUACCCGCAGAAGAAGGUGCGGCUAACUACGUGCCAGCAGCCGCGGUAAUACGUAGGCACCAAGCGUUGUUCGGAAUUACUGGGCGUAAAGCGAGUGUAGGCGGUUUGCCAAGUCGGUUGUGAAAUCUCCCGGCUUAACUGGGAGGGUGCGACUGAAACUGGCAGGCUGGAGUGCGGGAGAGGAGAGUGGAAUUCCUGGUGUAGCGGUGAAAUGCGUAGAUAUCAGGAGGAACACCGGUGGUGAAGACGGCUCUCUGGACCGCUACUGACGCUGAGACUCGAAAGCGUGGGGAGCAAACAGG
rnacentral:rRNA from 1 species